CGCCAGGGCCUACGGCUUCCAGAAGGCUGAGCGGCGAGGGCUAACCCCGAGCUGCGAAGAGGCGGUUGGGUGCUUGGGGCGGGAAUGUUUCUCCGGCUCUUGUCAGAACACUAGGGAGCCAGGUCCGGAGAGUAGGAGGGAAGAGACACAUUUAUGCCUGUCCUCGAGGCAUAAUAUGUGUAAAAAUGCCAGACAGAGCAUAUGUCUCUCGCCCAAAUAUCCAAAGGCUUCCUAUCGCAAAGUAAAAAAAAAAAAAGGUGACCUUUGAGCAAGGACCUAAAAUAGAAGAAAACAGGCAAGUAACCAGAAUUACUAUCAUAGAAGUCACCACAUUGGAGAGGGACCUAACCUGAGCUUCCUGGAUUAAAGGAUGAAUAGGAGUUGACCAGAUAAAAAGGAAGAGAGAGAACUUCCACACCAGGCAGAGGGAGCAGCUUGUACAAAGGUAAAGAGGAAGGAAAGGACGUGAUACAUUCUGGAUGCUUUAAAUAGUUUAGUGAGGCUAAGUAUAGGGCAAGAGGGUCUGUGAGAGAAUGGUGAGGGGCAAGGCUAACAGCUGGUCAGUCAGAGGUGAACUCAUGACAGUGAGGAGCUAGAGGUGUAUCUUGAAAGUAUGGAGAAAAUCAGCAGAGUAGGUAAAGAGACACAUGAUCUUAUGAAUUUUGUAAAGAUCACCCCCAACCCACUGGAUUGGGAUGAGGUAAGGGAGAAUGGGAAACCGGAUAGGGAGUGUUGCAGUAAUUCAAGUCAGAGAUGAUGGUAAUGUACACUAGCGUGGUAAUAGAGGAGGUGGAGACACCUGGACAAAUAUAGAAUCGAUGCAGUCGUCCAGAGAACAUAAAGAAGGAAAAAAAACGGCCAAGGGCAGAAUGGGUAAUAGGAACAUUUAAGAGGAGAGAGAGGAAGGAUGUUAAAGAAAGAAACCAUAAAACUAAAAAGAUAAAAGGAAAAAUAAAAGAGAGAAUGGCUUGUUCAAAAUGUCUUUCAACCUCCUUCCUGUGGGCCCUUCUUUGCUUCAGAAGCUGAAAAGCUAAAAACAUUUCCCAAUUCUUUGCAACUAGUGUCCCAGAUGUAAUUUUAGUCUUAUAAAACAGAUGCAUUCACCCAAAGCUUAAAUUUUGAACUAAAUUGUCAGAGGAUGGAAGAGUUGCAUAAGGCAUCCAUUUUGCUUCUGUAAAUCAUAGGAGGCAUGACGUGGUUCUGGAGUUAAUAGUUCUGAUGAUGCUUUCCUGAUUCUCAGAGAGGCGCUGGGGUGAAGAGAUCCCGAGAGCCAGCUCCUGAUUGUGGUAAAUAUGUCAGUAACUGUUGGUGCCCCAAUUUUGUGGCAUUGUUCUGGGAGUACAGUCAUGCACUGCAUAAUGAUGUUUCGGACAAGGACAGACCAUAUAUCCGACAGUGGUCCCAUAA